rnacentral:rRNA from 1 species
GAUGAACGCUAGCGGCAGGCCUAAUACAUGCAAGACGAACGGUAACUUUGAUAGCAAUAUUGAAGCAAGAGUGUCGUACGGGUGCGUAACACGUAUGCAACCUACCCUUUACAGGCGGAUAGCUCGGGGAAACUCGAAUUAACCCGCCAUAAUAUAGUUGAAUGGCAUCAUUUAAUUAUUAAAACCCAGGUGGUAAAGGAUGGGCAUGCGUCUGAUUAGUUAGUUGGUGAGGUAAUGGCUCACCAAGACGAUGAUCAGUAGGGGAACUGAGAGGUUGAUCCCCCACACUGGCACUGAGAUACGGGCCAGACUCCUACGGGAGGCAGCAGUAGGGAAUAAUGGUCAAUGGGUGAGAGCCUGAACCAGCCAUGCCGCGUGCAGGAAGAAGGCCUUCUGGGUUGUAAACUGCUUUUGUCAGGGGAUAAAAAGCUCGUGCGCGAGUAAUUGCAGGUACCUGAUGAAUAAGCCACGGCUAACUACGUGCCAGCAGCCGCAGUAAUAC